GCCCCACGGCUCAGCUGCGGAGGAGUAGAUGGGGCCGCUGCCGUGCGCUGCCCCCCCGGCUGGAUCCCCUUCACGCCACCGGACAGACGCCGGCCCGCCGAAGAGGGCAGCCGAGGACGCCCCCCUCUCCCGCUCCUGCCCCCCGCUGUUGCCCCCCGGCCGCCUGCUCCUGCCCCGCUGGCGUGGGGCGCACGCCACACUCUGCACGCGCCCCAGAGCCCCUCGCCGACCGCACACCUCCGCCUCCCGCCGCUGCCAUUCCGGGGUUGCGCCGAAGAGACGGGAUUCUCAGGGGGGGGAAUUGCCCCAGGAAAUGGGGGCGGGGGGGAAGAUACCCCCGUCAGUGGGUUGGGAUGAAAAAAUACCCCAGUCAGAGAGAUGGGGUCAAAAAAUACCCCAGUCAGUGAGUUGGGGGGUCAAAGAAUAGCCCAGUCAGUGGAAUGGGGUCAAAAAAUACCCCAGUCAGUGAGAUGGGGUCGAAAAAUACCUCAGUCAGUGGGAUGGGGUCAAAAAAUACCCCAGUCAGUGGGUUGGGGUCAAAAAAUACCCCAGUCAGUGGGAUGGGGUGAAAGAAUAGCCCAGUCAGUGGGUUGGGGUCAAAAAAUACCGUUAGCGGGUUGGGGUCAAAAAAUACCCCAGUCAGUGGGAUGGGGUCAAAGAAUAGCCCAGUCAGUGGGACGGGGUCAAAAAAUACCCCAGUCGACAAAACGGGGUCAAAAAAUACCCCAAUCACUGGGACGGGGUCAGAAAAUACCCCAAUCACUGGAACGGGGUCAAAAAAUACCCCAAUCAACGAGACGGGGUCAGAAAAUACCCCAAUCGAUGAGACGGGGUCAAAAAAUACCCCAGUCACUGGGAUGGGGUCAAAAAAAAUACCCCAAUCACUGCGACGGGGUCAGAAAAUACCCCAAUCUACGAGACGGGGUCAAAAAAUACCCCAAUCGCUGGAACGAAGGCAGGCAGGAAGCGGGGCGGCCGGCAGGAUCCUCCGAGGGCACGUGACCCGCCAGACGCAGGAGGGGUAUUUAUUGUGGAGCAGCGGGGUCAUUUCUCCCAGAGGACUCCCCCCCACCCCAGGACCCAUCAUCCACGGCUGCCUGGGCCGGGGCACAUGGGAGAAGAAGAUCUCGAGAGCAAGAAGAGAGUUUAUUAAAAAUGGAUUUCUAAAUG